rnacentral:misc_RNA from 1 species
AAAAAAUUGAAGACGAUGACGAACGGAAAACGACUUACCAGGUAAAUAGAGGAGGAGAGGAGACUUGUCCAAGCGAGAUCCACACUCCAACGGAGAGAACCACCGUGGUGGACCACCGUCCGAUCUGAUCAAAUCCUUUGACUCCUCAAAGUAAUCCUUCAUGCUCUUUCUAUGCUUCUUUUCAGCUUCCGCCAAUUCCCAAAGCAAUGGAAUUUUCUUCUCCUGUGUUUCGUUUUCUAAGCGCUCCAUCUUCAACCUUUCGUUAUCUGGAAAACUCGUCGUCGUUGCUUCCGUUUUUAUUUGUACCUGCUCUGUCGAAACUGCAAAUCGCCGUGUCAGAUUUGGGACCGGAUUCGAUUUCAUUUUACCAGAUGAAGAUGACGAUGGCGUUAAGCAAGAACGGACCAACGCCGGGGAAAAUCCGGCUACGGAGAAGCAUGGUCCGGUCGCCGCCAUUUCAAGUUUACUAAUCACGCUCCCCUUCGCUGUCUCUUUGUCGCUGGGCGUAUGGUCUUAACAGAUUUAAGGACUGUUGUUGACUUAGAUAUUGGCCCUAGCAUGUACAGACA